rnacentral:rRNA from 1 species
CAGCCGCCGCGGUAAUACCGGCGGCCCGAGUGGCGGUCACUAUUAUUGGGCUUAAAGCGUCCGUAGCCGGGGUGGGAAGUCCUCCGGGAAAUCUGGCCGCUUAAAGGUCAGAAUGCCGGAGGAUACUCCCAGCCUAGGGAGCGGGAGAGGCCGAGGGGAUUCCCGGGGUAGGGGGGAAAUCCUAUAAUCCCGGGAGGACCACCUGUGGCGAAGGCGCUCGGCUGGAACGCGUCCGACGGUGAGGGACGAAGGCCAGGGGAGCAAACCGGAUUAGAUACCCGGGUAGUCCUGGCUGUAAACGAUGCGGACUUUGUGUCGGACAAGCUAUGAGCUUGUCCGGUGCCGGAGGGAAACCGUUAAGUCCGCCGCCUGGGGAGUACGGCCGCAAGGCUGAAACUUAAAGGAAUUGGCGGG